UGACUACUCAGGGUUCUUGCAGUGUUAGUCAAACGAUCUGUUAAUGAUACACAAAGUAAACAUUACUAAAUAUGAGUGUUACAUAUCACGACAGGCCGGUUAGUUGUGAACAUGGGUUUGAUUGUACCCAAUUCUGCACCACCCUAACAUCACUCAUC